rnacentral:rRNA from 1 species
GUCCACGCCGUAAACGAUGGGUACUAGGCGUCGGGGGAGCGACCCCUUCGGUGCCGUCGCUAACGCAGUAAGUACCCCGCCUGGGGAGUACGGCCGCAAGGCUGAAACUCAAAGGAAUUGACGGGGGCCCGCACAAGCGGUGGAGCAUGUGGUUUAAUUCGAGGCAACGCGAAGAACCUUACCUGGGCUUGACAUGCUGGUGAAAGCCGGUGGAAACAUCGGUCCCUCUUCGGAGCACCAGCACAGGUGCUGCAUGGCUGUCGU